UGGGGAAUAUUGCACAAUGGGCGCAAGCCUGAUGCAGCCAUGCCGCGUGUAUGAAGAAGGCCUUCGGGUUGUAAAGUACUUUCAGCGGGGAGGAAGGGAGUAAAGUUAAUACCUUUGCUCAUUGACGUUACCCGCAGAAGAAGCACCGGCUAACUCCGUGCCAGCAGCCGCGGUAAUACGGAGGGUGCAAGCGUUAAUCGGAAUUACUGGGCGUAAAGCGCACGCAGGCGGUUUGUUAAGUCAGAUGUGAAAUCCCCGGGCUCAACCUGGGAACUGCAUCUGAUACUGGCAAGCUUGAGUCUCGUAGAGGGGGGUAGAAUUCCAGGUGUAGAGGUGAAAUGCGUAGAGAUCUGGAGGAAUACCGGUGGCGAAGGCGGCCCCCUGGACGAAGACUGACGCUCAGGUGCGAAAGCGUGGGGAGCAAACAGG
rnacentral:rRNA from 1 species